AUUUUCACUUAUUGUGGGUGGUCCUGGAACGUAACCCCCGCGAUAAGUGAGGGAACACUGUACACAAAUCUUUUUGUUGUUUUCGGGAAAAAUGGGUACAGAUCAUACAGAGACAGCCUAGGCAUUUAUCACUCACAUGCUUAAUCAGUUUCUCAGACAACCUGGGAAAGAUAAGGAGUUAAGAAACAAGAAAGGACAAGAGCCAUCUAUAACCUGGCUUAACUAUUGGCAGAUUAAGGAAUGUUUUAAAAUAGAUAACCAAAUAGGAUUUGAGAGAAAUGAUACAACUUGGGAUAAAAUCCUAAAGCUCGAGAAGAAAGUAAUUAAAGUCUUAUACAAACAGCUCCUGAUGUGGAAAUCAGAAGAGGUCUACGUAAAAGAUAAUAUGACUAAAUGGGCGAAGGGAUUUGGGCAUGCUAUAAAAUUUGAGGUAUGGGAAAGAUGCUGGCAAAAGAGAAUAAGAUAUACAUACUCAACAGCAAUAAAGGAAAGCUGGUAUAAAAUCUUUUAUAGGUGGUAUAUUACACCGGAAAAAUUGUCAAAAUUUAACAAAGGAAAGAAAGGGGAAGAGUGCUGGAAAUGUAGGAAAGAAAAGGGGGAUCUCUUUCACAUGUGGUGGGGGUGCAAGAAGGUUAAAAGGUUCUGGAGAACAAUAAAGAAGGAGAUGGAGAUAAUACUACAAGUAAAACUCUUAUUAAAACCGGAAUACUUUUUAUUAGGGUUAAUAGACUUCGUCAUGGACUCAAAUAAGGAAAAACUAUUUACAUAUAUGAUAAGCGCAGCCAGAAUUGUGAUUGCGAAACUUUGGAAAACAGCGGAAGUGCCGUCGUUAGAGCAAUGGACAUUGAAACUGAUGGACAUACAAAAUAUGGACAUAUUAACGCAAAUAAUUUCACAAAAUCAUCAACCAAGGACAAAAACGGACUGGAACAACUUAAGCAAAUACCUGAAUGAAAAAAAGGAAUUUGGAAACAUAGGGGGAGCUGUUGUUUAUGAAUAGACACUCUUGGGGCUUAAGAAAACUGGGUCGGGAAACUUGGGAAAAGUAAGAGACAAAUCGCAGAGCAGGGUAGCUGGAAGGUAACAUCGAGAGGAAGGAGGGAGGUGGGGAUUAGGGAUUGUGCUUUGUGUUUUUGUUCUUCUUUUGUUUUGUUUUUGGAUUAUUAUUUUUUUGCUUCUUUAAUCACUAUUUAAUUCUUCUUGGCUAUAUGCUUCCCUUCCUCUUUGGUUCUUCGUUUUUAAUGUAAUACAAAAACCACAAAUAAAAUGCUUUAAAAAAAAAAAAGAAAGGACAAGAGCAACCCAGUGCACAUUCUCAGUAGUUCAAAAGGAUGAGUGACAUUAGGUCCUUUGUGGAGGCUGCACACAACAACGUACUUGAGUCUUUUAGUCCAAGCACAACUGAAAUGACUGUUCAUAAUAACUAAUCCCAGAUUUACCCCCAUGUUCUAUUCUCAGGGACUGCUAUAAAUUCACAGUGGAGUUGCCCCGCCAAACAUGGGUCACAAAUGCAGGAAUGGCAACAUGAAUACGCUUUUCCAUCUUGGGCUAUGGAUGGUGUUCUGUAUCGGUUUGGUUUCUGGCAUCCAGUGUUCCAAUUGCAAAAUAUACCCUUCAGGUGGUGUAUGUCGGCAUCAGAACCCGCCGUGCAAGCUCUAUGCAGGAAUGUCUUGCUACAAAAAAGUAGUUCUUUACGGAGCGACUCCCUUAUAUACCAAAAAGGGAUGUAUGCAAAAUUGCAGGACCAUCACAGCAACAAAGGAGAGCAAGAUGAUGAAUGUAGAUGUUAAGUGCUGCUCUCAACGAAAUUUCUGCAAUAUCUAAGAUGAUAGCAUUAGUAUUUUAAUGGUGCUUAUUACCAUUACGCAUCAAUCAGAGCUCGGAAAUGUUGUAGUUUUUGGAACAAAAGGCUUCAAAAGGCUUCAGUGGCAAAAGAAUUCUGGGCAUUGAAGGCCAGACAAUUUUUUUCCAAGCCCUGAAAAAGAAUUUAUACCUCUAUCAUGGUCAAGCUGAAGGAAACCUAUCGUGGUAUCUAUUGCCAAAUUCAUCAAAUGGAGAAAAGCAACAUAUGGAGAAAGAAUGUUGCUGCCAGAAACAAGGAUGUGGACUUUAAACUUAGAAGAAAUUUUAUGUGAUGAUCUUAAGAAGAACUUCUGAAAGAUGUUCUGAUAGGUGAGAACCUGAUGUGUUAAAAGAUACAAAGGGGAAAAGAAUAUUGAUUGGAAAUGGGGAAGCUAGACGAGGAGCUUUUAUUUUAUGUGCUGAUCGUGCCAAAAAAAUCAAAUCAUCAUGAUAAUAAAAACCCUCAAACUUU